GACGUAGGGCGCGAGCGUUGUCCGGAUUUAUUGGGCGUAAAGAGCUCGUAGGCGGCUUGUCGCGUCGACUGUGAAAACUCGGGGCUCAACUCCGAGCUUGCAGUCGAUACGGGCAGGCUAGAGUUCGGUAGGGGAGACUGGAAUUCCUGGUGUAGGCGGUGAAAUGCGCAGAUAUCAGGAGGAACACCGGUGGCGAAGGCGGUUCUCUGGGCAUUACCUGACGCUGAGGAGCGAAAGUGUGGGGAGCGAACAGG
rnacentral:rRNA from 1 species